UACACUCCUGCGGGAGGCAGCAGUGGGGAAUUUUGGACAAUGGGCGAAAGCCUGAUCCAGCAAUGCCGCGUGAGUGAAGAAGGCCUUCGGGUUGUAAAGCUCUUUUGUCAGGGAAGAAACGGUGAAAGCUAAUAUCUUUUGCUAAUGACGGUACCUGAAGAAUAAGCACCGGCUAACUACGUGCCAGCAGCCGCGGUAAUACGUAGGGUGCAAGCGUUAAUCGGAAUUACUGGGCGUAAAGCGUGCGCAGGCGGUUUUGUAAGUCUGAUGUGAAAUCCCCGGGCUCAACCUGGGAAUUGCAUUGGAGACUGCAAGGCUAGAAUCUGGCAGAGGGGGGUAGAAUUCCACGUGUAGCAGUGAAAUGCGUAGAUAUGUGGAGGAACACCGAUGGCGAAGGCAGCCCCCUGGGUCAAGAUUGACGCUCAUGCACGAAAGCGUGGGGAGCAAACAGGAUUAGAUACCCCUGUAGUCCCAUGA
rnacentral:rRNA from 1 species